rnacentral:lncRNA from 10 species
GAGGGAUUAAACCUGCUAGUUUUGGAAAAAAAAAAAAAAAGGAAAGAAAAGAAAAGAAAGAAAGAAAAACAAAAAACAACAACAAACAGAAAAAUGCAAAACUGCAGAACACGCAGUGGAGGUUGGAUUCAGAGGACAUGGGGAUCAGUGUGGGCUGUGCUGGUCAAGGAGGGCUUCCAGGGAGAGGCAACUGAGGAUUCACUGCAAUUGUUCCUUGAGAAGAUGAGGAUCAGGUCGGGAAUUGGAAACAUCUGAGGGCUCAAUUCAACCUGGCUUCUAAAACGAACAUGGUGAACAUAGAUCAACUACUGAACUUCUUUUAACCUCUGGCAUCCUAUCUGUGAAUUGUGGGGAGGAAACAGGGUCCACCCGCUGCUGCACAAGAGGGGUGUGUGCAGACCGUCACCUUGUGUCUGCUGUAGCAGGAGACCCCUGGCCAUGCGGGACUGAACCCAUGAUUGCAGCUGAUCUUACUCUGUCUCUUCUCUGUGUGAGUAAAGUGUUGUUCCAUCUAGUGCCUGUGUGAG